rnacentral:rRNA from 1 species
CACGUAGGAGGCGAGCGUUGUCCGGAAUCAUUGGGCGUAAAGAGCGCGCAGGCGGCUUGGCAAGUCGGGUGUGAAAUCCCGGGGCUCAACCCCGUGACUGCAUCCGAUACUGUCAGGCUAGAGGUAGGUAGGGGAGAUCGGAAUUCCUGGUGUAGCGGUGAAAUGCGCAGAUAUCAGGAGGAACACCGGUGGCGAAGGCGGAUCUCUGGGCCUUACCUGACGCUCAGGUGCGAAAGCGUGGGGAGCAAACGGG